UACGUAGGGGGCUAGCGUUGUCCGGAAUCAUUGGGCGUAAAGCGCGUGUAGGCGGCCCGAUAAGUCCGCUGUGAAAGUCCAGGGCUCAACCCUGGGAUGCCGGUGGAUACUGUCGGGCUCGAGUCCGGAAGAGGAGAGUGGAAUUCCUGGUGUAGCGGUGAAAUGCGUAGAGAUCAGGAGGAACACCCAUGGCGAAGGCAGCUCUCUGGUCGACAUCUGACGCUGAGACGCGAAAGCGUGGGGAGCGAACGGG
rnacentral:rRNA from 1 species